GGAUCAGUUCUGCAUGCAACGUUGGGCAUGUGAAAUCAAAAGCUGGCUUUUGUGCUUAGACUCAUUUUGAGACUGUGAGAUGCUCUAACACAUUCUCCUGCAAUUGUGAUGGGGUGGAAGGUCUUUUUACUGCCUACUAUGUGCUUGAAGCAGUGAGCUUUAACCAAGAUAUCAAACAGAACUGCCAAGACAAACCGCAUAUGAACUAUGUUUGAAAAAUAGUGAAUAAGAAUCUUUCCACACAGAAGACACAAGCCAACAAGGCAACUCAUGGUGCUUCGGAAGCUGCUGUGGUUUCAGGGCUGUUCUUGCAGUUUGCAUCCUGUUUCCAUCGCCAAUUUCAUAUUGGAGCUUCUGCCAGGUUUUAGUUUCUAUUCUUCCCUUGCUAUAUCACUGCCUUUUUGAGGAAUGGGCUGGAAUAUGAGAAAAAUCAUGAAAUGCAAAUACAUGCUGUGGCGGAACUCCUGCGGACUCCUUUUAUGUCCUCUUGCUUAAGUUUUGUUUGAUGUGAAACUAUUUUAUAAAUAGUAUUUUAAUUUUAAUUCUCUAUUUGAAGAUAUGCAACCAUCUCUGCAGGUUACCAAAGAGUUUUAAACUGCUAACCUGCUGUAAGGCAAUAAAAUUACAGUGUUUUCUUAGGCCAAUUCAAGUAUUUAUUUUGCAGUGUAUCUCAGCCUGAGUGAAACAUCUGUUAAUCCUGAGUAAUUACUGCAACGCUUUGCACAAUUAGCUUCAAGCUUUCAGGUCAACAGAAUAAUUACAUAAAAAGAUGAACCUGUUCUCUUCCAAUUCCCAUUUAAGUGGAAGAGCAAAUUAGACUAAACAGGUACUGUAGAUUUCUCUUGGUUAAGAGAAGAUUUACAGUUGUGUUUCCUUGUGUCAUGGUUUCAUGUUCACCUGUUUUAAAAGAUUGCAGAGGCUGAUUUGUAGCUUUUUGCACAAACUUUGCACUUCAGUAGACUAUCACACCAAAAACCAAAAAAAAGGUGUUAGUAGUCUGAAAAAUAUGAACUCCAACCUUUGUAGCCAAUCACAAUGCUAUGAAAAUAGAAACAAAUGGAAAUGGAGCUUCAUUCUUUUCCAUAGCAUAAGCUCUAUGCAUGGUCAAAUAAGAUAUUUUAAUUAAAUCAGGACUGAGUUUAAUUCAGACUCGGAUUCACUAUAGCUUUGCAAUGUAUACUUAGUUUAGAAAUGAGACUGUAUUCCCAAACUGUCAUCAUUGCUAUUAUAAGUAACAUGUCCAAACCAAAGCUUGAUUUGAUCUUGUCAUGGAAGGAAUUUUAGAACAUUUACACUGUGGUUUGCUGUUUAGAGUUAUUUAUUGGAAGAGCAAAGGCUGUAGGAUUUUUUUUCAUUCAUUGGAAUAAGAUAGAGAAUUAGGGCUUUUCCUUUUUUUUCUUCCCUUGAAAUAUAUUUGUAUUGCAGACCGAAGGGACAUAUUUUAAAAUAUACUUUUCUAUAGAGAGAUAGAAAUGACUGUGCUUUUUAGAUAGUAUUGUAAAGUUUUAACUUAUCCCCAGCUGUUGCUUAAGGAAGCUCACUAAGAAAAGAGCUGCUGUUAUGGAUGAGAAGAUGUAGUGGAUGUAUAUCUCAAUUGUUUCUCUAGCGUGUCCAAUAUUGAUGCAGUAAUGACUCCUAGAUAAGUCAUGACGAAGUAAACUAUGAUAAAUUCUUCAGAUCAUGGGAAGAAAAUAUAAGGUAUAAUUUUCUAAAGCCAUUUAAUCCUGCUGCGGACAGGCACUUUUGUCCCAUUGUUCUUCUCAAUUUCCUUUAUUUUUAAGCUCCAACAUCACUUAAAGAAAAGAUUCUGCAACGAAUCUUAACAUAACUUUAUCAUAAGAAAUAUUAUAGCUCUUCCUAGGUUUUCAGUCUUUCUGUGUUCUUUAAUAAAUGUUUAGGUCUUGGACUCCUUUUCAAUUUGUGCAGUGUUUAGAUCUGUAUCUGGUUUAAUAAUCUGGAAAUACUGACAAAGGAUUUUGUUUGGACUCCAAUAAAAAUCUGCUAGGAUUGGCAUCUGAGGAAGUUUUUUUUCUUUACAACUCCAUUAUAGGUAUUCUUUUAUGCAAUGAUGUUACAUUAGAUUAACUAUUAAGGUGUAUACAUACUAUCUCUCAAAUCUGAAUUAUGAAUAGCAAUUCAGUGCAAGCACUUGUGUUGUUGAAAAAGAUUUUAUCCUUGAGCAACCCUCAGACUGUUGAAGUGCCAGAAGGCCCAGCAUUGCACAUUCUUUGCUUUAUUCUUAUUCAUAAAAUUUUCUUGACCUGUUUGGUUGUGUCUGCCUUCAUUAAUUUCAACCUCCCUAACUUUCAGCAACAAAAAAAUCAGAA